rnacentral:rRNA from 1 species
GACGAACGCUGGCGGCGUGCCUAAUACAUGCAAGUCGAGCGCAGGAAACUGACAGAACUCUUCGGAGGGAAGGCAGCGGAAUGAGCGGCGGACGGGUGAGUAACACGUAAGGAACCUGCCUCAAGGAUUGGGAUAACUCCGAGAGAUCGGAGCUAAUACCGGAUAGUUCAUCGGACCGCAUGGUCCGUUGAGGAACGGCGCUCCGGCGUCACCUUGAGAUGGCCUUGCGGUGCAUUAGCUAGUUGGUGGGGUAACGGCCCACCAAGGCGACGAUGCAUAGCCGACCUGAGAGGGUGAUCGGCCACACUGGGACUGAGACACGGCCCAGACUCCUACGGGAGGCAGCAGUAGGGAAUCUUCCACAAUGGACGAAAGUCUGAUGGAGCAACGCCGCGUGAGUGAUGAAGGUUUUCGGAUCGUAAAACUCUGUUGUAAGGGAAGAACACGUACGAGAGGGAAUGCUCGUACCUUGACGGUACCUUACGAGAAAGCCACGGCUAACUACGUGCCAGCCGCCGCAGUAAAAC